GAUGAAGAACGUAACGAAAUGCGAUAAGUAGUGUGAAUUGCAGAAUUCAGUGAAUCAUCGAAUCUUUGAACGCACAUUGCGCCCUUUGGUAUUCCAAAGGUCAUGCCUGUUCGAGCGUCAUUUGUACCCUCAAGCUUUGCUUGGUGUUGGGCGUCUUGUCUCUAGCUUUGCUGGAGACUCGCCUUAAAGUAAUUGGCAGCCGGCCUACUGGUUUCGGAGCGCAGCACAAGUCGCACUCUCUAUCAGCAAAGGUCUAGCAUCCAUUAAGCCUUUUUUUCAACUUUUGACCUCGGAUCAGGUAGGGAUACCCGCUGAACUUAAGCAUAUCAAUAAGCGGAGGA
rnacentral:misc_RNA from 1 species